rnacentral:rRNA from 1 species
AUACGGAGGAUGCAAGCGUUAUCCGGAUUUAUUGGGUUUAAAGGGUGCGUAGGCGGAUGAUUAAGCGUGAGGUGAAAUGCCACUGCUCAACAGUGGAACUGCCUCGCGAACUGGUUGUCUUGAAUGCUCCUGCCGUGGGAGGAAUGUGUGGUGUAGCGGUGAAAUGCAUAGAGAUCACACAGAACACCGAUUGCGAAGGCAUCUCACGAAGGGGUGAUUGACGCUGAGGCACGAAAGCGUGGGGAUCAAACAGGAUUAGAUACCCUGGUAGUCCACGCAGUAAACGAUGAUAACUAACCGCUGGGUCGUAGUGAUUCAGUGGCCAAGCGAAAGCGAUAAGUUAUCCACCUGGGGAGUGCGACCGCAAGGUUGAAACUCAAAUGAAUUGACGGGG